UGGAGCACGCGGACCACCUCCUCAGUCGGCAAAGAGUCCAUCGGCACUCGGUCCUCCGCGGCAAGAGCGCCUCGAGCUUGGCCCUCUGGUACUUCGUUGUAGACUCGUCUCUUCCUCUGCCUUGGCCACGCACCUCCAAGCGACUGCCCAUCGAUCUUCCCCCAAGAGAAGGCCGACGAGGAGUUUCAGGUUUGGUCUCGGCGGUUCGAGCGUGCCUUUGCGAUGGAGUGGAGGGCCGUCGUCCUGCUGUUCGUCGUGGCUGCCGUGCUGGCGCUGGCGGAUCCGCAGAAGAAGUGCUCGAAAAUCGGUGGAGAUUGCGUGGCGGACGGCGACUGCCCCAAGACGCUGGAGGCAAAAGGCGACUGCAAGGGAAAACUCGUCUGCUGUAAAAAAGGCAGGAAGGUCGCGAACGAAGGUAAAAAAGGCAAGAAGGUCGCGAACGAAGGUAA